CAUGGGACUGCUUCAGUAGACUCAUCGUCUCUGCUAACUGCUAGAAAUUAGUUCCUUUGGAAGAGAUAAGAGCAUAUAGGCAGACUUGAAAUGAGGGGAAGAAUCCUGAACUCGGCAUGAUUUCUAACCACUUGUCCCAUGCACAGGCUGGGACUGCUCUAGCCUCUGGGAAGACCAAAGGAAAGUUUAGCUACACAGAAGGGAUCCUCCCGCAUCUCUGCACAGAACAGAAGUAAGGUAGUCUCUGGGACAGCAGGAUGUAGGGAGGAAGGGAUUCCUGAACAUCAGUCUCCCCUUUGACACUGAUUUCCAAUGAAGCAUUUUGUCUCAUGGAAAUCACUUGUAAGCAGUCGAAUUCCUUCUGGAUUGACAAUGAAGUCACACAAAACUGGUCAGGAUGUUAAGAAGGAAGGACAAACUCCAAAUAUGACCAGCUAAUGCCACUCCUACUACACUGUGAAGCAAAACCAAUCUUAGGGUGAUAACCAUGGUUUCCUGCUCAUACCCAGAGUCCAGAGUAUGUA